AUGCCAGAUCAGAUGAAGGGCAUGGUGACCACAAGGGGUUUGGCUGCAUCUCCCCGAGGAGGGCGCCGGGGAACUCUUUGCUCACCAGCCUCCCUCAAGUGCAAUGGUUUAGCACCAAGGCCCAUCGACGUCACCGAUGUCGCUGGUGCCGCUCUCCUAGUGGCUCGAUUCCUAGCAGCUGAGGAGAUUUCCGAUAUGGAUGCGGCAGUGGCAGAUGCUCCGGAGUUGGCGACGACGGCGAUCGUUACAGUGGCGGUGGCAGCGAUGGCUCCGGCCGCAGGGGAGGCGGUGGUGGUGGAGGCCAGGUCGUAG
rnacentral:rRNA from 1 species